rnacentral:rRNA from 1 species
GACGAACGCUGGCGGCGUGCUUAACACAUGCAAGUCGAACGGAAAGGCCCUUCUUGUGUGGGAUGCUCGAGUGGCGAACGGGUGAGUAACACGUGUGUAACCUGCCCUUGACUGUGAUAUAUCUUGAGGAAACUGGGUCAAAUACCGGAGAGGAUCUCCUUCUGCGUGGUGGGUGUUGGAAAGUUUCGGCGGUGGGGGAUGGACGCGGGGGUUAUAAGCUUUGGGGUGGGGUAGUGGUUUACCAAGGUUUUCCGGGGUAGCCGGCCUGAGGGGGGGACGGGCAACAUUGGGACUGAGAUCCGGCCCAGCUUCCUACGGGAGGAAGAAGUGGGGAAUAUUGAAAAAUGGGCGGAGGCCUGAUGCAGAAACGCCGCGUGCGGGAUGACGGCCUUCGGGUGGUAACCCGUUUUCGCCUGUGCCGAAGUGUGUGUGACGGUAGUGGGUAAAGAAGCACCGGCUAACUACGUG